CCUACGGGGGACUGCAGUGAGGAAUAUUGGUCAAUGGACGAGAGUCUGAACCAGCCAAGUAGCGUGAAGGAUGACUGCCCUAUGGGUUGUAAACUUCUUUUAUAUGGGGAUAAAACGUUCCACGUGUGGGAUUUUGUAUGUACCAGAUGAAUAAGGAUCGGCUAACUCCGUGCCAGCAGCCGCGGUAAUACGGAGGAUCCGAGCGUUAUCCGGAUUUAUUGGGUUUAAAGGGGGCGUAGGUGGAUUGUUAAGUCCGUUGUGAAAGUCUGGGGCUCAACCGUGAAAUUGCAGUUGAAACUGGGAGUCUUGAGUACAGUAGAGGGAGGCGGAAUUCGUGGUGUAGCGGUGAAAUGCUUAGAUAUCACGAAGAACCCCGAUUGCGAAGGCAGCUUACUGUACUGCAACUGACACUGAGGCUCGAAAGUGCGGGUAUCGAACAGGAUUAGAUACCCUUGUAGUC
rnacentral:rRNA from 1 species